UGGGGGAUAUUGCACAAUGGGCGAAAUCCUGCUGCAGCGACGCCGCGUGGGGGAUGAAGGCCUUCGGGUUGUAAACUUCUUUUGCUCUGAACAAGGCGCACCAUGGGGUGUGUUGAGUGUAGGGGUUGAUUAGCGCCGGCUAACUACGUGCCAGCAGCCGCGGUCAUACGUCGGGCGCGAGCGUUGUCCGGAAUUAUUGGGCGUAAAGGGCUGGUAGGUGGCUGGGUGCGUCUGUCGUGAAAGCUCAUGGCUUAACUGUGGGUUUGCGGUGGGGACGGGGUGGCUGGAGGGCAGUAGGAGAGGCUGGAAUUCCUGGUGUAGCGGUGGAAUGCGCAGAUAUCAGGAGGAAUACCGGGGGCGAAGGCGGGUCUCUGGGCUGUUACUGACACUGAGGAGCGAAAGCAUGGGGAGCAAAAAGG
rnacentral:rRNA from 1 species